rnacentral:rRNA from 13 species
GGCCUGCAAGUUGGAGAAGCCCCGGAGCUGCCAGUACAUGGUCAGGAAGGAAAAUGCGCUCCCGGGCACACCGCCCGACACACCCUGGAACACGAGCAGGCCGAAGGACGGGAUGCGCAGGAUCGUGCGGAUCGUCGCGAACAGGUUGGGCGCGC